UCCCUGGCAGUACAGUGGUUAGAACUCUGCAUUUCCACUACAGGGAGCUCAGGUUCGAUCCCUGGUCAGGGAA
rfam:TPA: Bos taurus chromosome 21, whole genome shotgun sequence.